GCACGGGUGAGUACACGUGACUAACCUACCCUGGAGUGGGGAAUAACUGAGGGAAACCUUAGCUAAUACCGCAUAAUACCUACGGGUCAAAGGAGCAAUUCGCUUCAGGAGGGGGUCGCGGCCGAUUAGUUAGUUGGCGGGGUAAUGGCCCACCAAGACAAUGAUCGGUAUCCGGCCUGAGAGGGCGCACGGACACACUUGGAACUGAAACACGGUCCAAGACUCCUACGGGAGGCAGCAGUGGGGAAUUUUGCGCAAUGGGGGAAACCCUGACGCAGCAACGCCGCGUGGAGGAUGAAAUCCCUUGGGAUGUAAACUCCUUUCGAUCGGGACGAUUAUGACGGUACCGGAAGAAGAAGCCCCGGCUAACUUCGUGCCAGCAGCCGCGGUAAUACGAGGGGGGCAAGCGUUGUUCGGAAUUAUUGGGCGUAAAGGGAGUGUAGGCGGUUUGGUAAAGUCGUGUGUGAAAUCUUCGGGCUCAACCCGGAAGUCUGACACGAAACUGCCGGGCUUGAGUAUGGGAGAGGUGAGUGGAUUCCCUGGUGUA
rnacentral:rRNA from 1 species